rnacentral:rRNA from 1 species
UACGUAGGCAGCAAGCGUUGUUCGGAAUUACUGGGCGUAAAGAGUGUGUAGGCGGUGCUCUAAGUUCGGUGUGAAAUCUCCCGGCUUAACUGGGAGGGUGCGCCGGAAGCUGGAGUGCUUGAGCGCGGGAGAGGAAAGCGGAAUUCCUGGUGUAGCGGUGAAAUGCGUAGAUAUCAGGAGGAACACCUGUGGUGUAGACGGCUUUCUGGACCGUAGCUGACGCUGAGACACGAAAGCGUGGGUAGCAAACAGG